rnacentral:lncRNA from 1 species
UCCCAGUUCAAGAACCCCCAGGCAGAAAGAAUUCUGUCUUACUUGGGAGAGGUUGGGGGGGGGGGGUCAGUCUUUAUGUUCUAUGCAGGCCUUCAGUUGAUUGGAUGAGGCCCACCCACAUUAGAGAAGGCAGUUUGCUUUAUUCACUCUACUGAUUUAAAUGUUAAUCUCAUCCAAAAACGCCCUCACAGAAACACCCACAGUAAUGUUUGACUAAACAUCUGGGAACCCCAUGACCGAGGCUUCUGACUCCUCCAAAACAUAACUAAUAAUGGAGCCUUAUUGAUAACAUAGACAAUUAACACAUAUUUUGUCUAUGUAUUAUUUACUGUAUUCUUAUACUAAAAUAAGCUAGAUAAAAGAAAAUGUUAUUAAGAAAAUAGAUCUACUCUUCAUUAAGUGGAAGUGGAUUAUCAUAAAGUUUGUCAUGUAGAGUAGGCUGAGGAGGAGGAGGAGGAAGACAAGGGCUCCAUCUUGCUGAAGAGAAGGGCUCCAUCUUGCUGUUUCUGGGUGGCAGAGAUGGAACAGAUAGAGGAGCUGGAAGAGGAAGCAGAAGAGGAAGACACACUUUGUUUUUUUACACUGAGGAAAUCUGGUCAUGAUCUUCUCAUUUCAUCAAUGGAAAACCAGAAUUCUCAAGAAAGAGACCUAAGCAGCUGAAAGCGUGCGGUGGCUCACGCCUAUAAUCCCAGCACCUUGGGAGGCCAUGGCAGGAGGAUCACCUGAGAUCAGGAGUUCAAGACCAGCCUGGUGAAACCCCAUCUCUACAAAAAAUACAAAACUUAGCCGGGCAUGGUGGCAUGCACCUAUAACCCCAGCUACUAGGGAGGCUGAGACAGGAAAAUCGCUUGCACCCGGGAGGUGGAGGUUGCAGUGAGCCAAGAUCACACCACUGCACUGCAGCCUGGACAACAGAGCAAGACUCCAUCUCAAAUAAAUAAAUAAAUAAAUAAAUAAAUAAAUAAAUAAAUAAAUAAGAAUAGCAGGUUCCUGGUUGCGUAGCUUUCUGCAUAUGGCAGAGAAAACCAAUACCUUGGAUCACCAUGGAGUACAAUACUGUAGUUGUUCAUUUCCAGGUGAUACAGCACAG